AAGUUUCAGUCUUGCGACCGUACUCCCCAGGUUGUCGGCUUAACACCUUCGCUCCGGCACCGGGUACCCGCGUAGGAUCCCCGACACCAAGCCGACAGCGUUUACACCCUGGACUACCGGGGUAUCUAAUCCCGUUUGCGCCCCAGGGCUUCGUCCCUGAUCGUCGGACUUGUUCUAGUGUAACGCCUUCGCCACUGGUGGUCCCCCAAGGAUUACAGGAUUUUACCCCUACCCUCAGAGUACCUUGCACCUCUCCCAAUCCCUAGCCGAGCGGUCUACCCGGAAUUCGAAACGUUGAGCGCUUCGAUUUACCCGGGCAUCUACUCAGCCGACUACGGACGAUUUAGACCCAAUAAUAACGAGCACCAC
rnacentral:rRNA from 1 species